rnacentral:rRNA from 1 species
UACGUAGGGGGCAAGCGUUGUCCGGAUUCAUUGGGCGUAAAGAGCGUGUAGGCGGCCAGGUAGGUCGGUUGUGAAAACUGGAGGCUCAACCUUCAGACGUCGACCGAAACCAUCUGGCUAGAGUCCGGAAGAGGAGAGUGGAAUUCCUGGUGUAGCGGUGAAAUGCGCAGAUAUCAGGAAGAACACCCGUGGCGAAGGCGGCUCUCUGGGACGGUACUGACGCUGAGACGCGAAAGCGUGGGGAGCGAACAGG